ensembl:snRNA U4 U4 spliceosomal RNA
AUCCUUUCGUAGUGGCAGUAUUGUAACCUAUGAGGUUUAGCCGAGGUGUGAUUAUUGCUGGUUGAAAACUUUAAUCCAAUGCCCGCCUUGAUGACUUGAAAUAUAGUCAGCAAUGGCAAUUUUUGACAGUCUCUACAGAGA